CGACGUGGGUAACCUGCCCUACACACAUGGAUAACAUACUGAAAAGUUUACUAAUACAUGAUAAUAUAUAUUUACGGCAUCGUAGAUAUAUCAAAGUGUUAGCGGUAUAGGAUGGACCCGCGUCUGAUUAGCUAGUUGGUGAGAUAACUGCCCACCAAGGCGACGAUCAGUAGCCGACCUGAGAGGGUGAUCGGCCACAUUGGAACUGAGACACGGUCCAA
rnacentral:rRNA from 1 species